rnacentral:rRNA from 1 species
UGGGGAAUAUUGGACAAUGGGCGCAAGCCUGAUCCAGCCAUGCCGCGUGAGUGACGAAGGCCUUAGGGUUGUAAAGCUCUUUUGGCGGGGACGAUAAUGACGGUACCCGCAGAAUAAGCCCCGGCUAACUUCGUGCCAGCAGCCGCGGUAAUACGAAGGGGGCUAGCGUUGUUCGGAAUUACUGGGCGUAAAGCGCACGUAGGCGGAUUUGUUAGUCAGGGGUGAAAUCCCGGGGCUCAACCUCGGAACUGCCUUUGAUACUGCAAGUCUCGAGUCCGGAAGAGGUGAGUGGAAUUCCUAGUGUAGAGGUGAAAUUCGUAGAUAUUAGGAAGAACACCAGUGGCGAAGGCGGCUCACUGGUCCGGUACUGACGCUGAGGUGCGAAAGCGUGGGGAGCAAACAGG